UAAUACGUAGGGGGCGAGCGUUGUCCGGAAUGAUUGGGCGUAAAGGGCGCGUAGGCGGCCUGGUAAGUCUGGAGUGAAAGUCCUGCUUUCAAGGUGGGAAUUGCUUUGGAUACUGCUGGGCUUGAGUGCAGGAGAGGUUAUCGGAAUUCCCGGUGUAGCGGUGAAAUGCGUAGAGAUCGGGAGGAACACCAGUGGCGAAGGCGGGUAACUGGACUGCAACUGACGCUGAGGCGCGAAAGUGUGGGGAGCAAACAGGAUUAGAUACCCUGGUAGUCCACACUGUAAACGAUGAAUGCUAGGUGUAAGAGGUAUCGACCCCUUUUGUGCCGGAGUCAACACAAUAAGCAUUCCGCCUGGGGAGUACGGCCGCAAGGUUGAAACUCAAAGGAAUUGACGGGGGCCCGCACAAGCAGCGGAGCAUGUGGUUUAAUUCGACGCAACGCGAAGAACCUUACCAGGUCUUGACAUCCACUUAAGCCCAUAGAGAUAUGGGGUGUCUUCGGACGAAGUGAGACAGGUGGUGCAUGGUUGUCGUCAGCUCGUGUCGUGAGAUGU
rnacentral:rRNA from 1 species